AAGUCGUAACAAGGUUUCCGUAGGUGAACCUGCGGAAGGAUCAUUAUUGAAUUAUAAGGCUCUGAUUGUGCUGGCCUCUCGGGGCAUGUGCACGUCUCUGCCCGUUAAUCCCAACCCACCCCUGUGAACCGACCGUGUGGGCGCUCUGUAACGGAGCCGUCCCAUGCUUUAUCAUAAACCCUGUAUGUCAUCAGAAUGUAAAUCUAUAUCCUCGCCUUAAAACCGCGUCGGUAAAAAAAAUUAAUACAACUUUCAACAACGGAUCUCUUGGCUCUGGCAUCGAUGAAGAACGCAGCGAAAUGCGAUAAGUAAUGUGAAUUGCAGAUUUUCAGUGAAUCAUCGAAUCUUUGAACGCACCUUGCGCUCCCUGGUAUUCCGGGGAGCAUGCCUGUUUGAGUGUCAUUAAAUUCUCAACCCCGAUCGGAUUUGUUUUCGCAUUCGGAGGCUUGGAUAGUGGAGCGUGCUGGCCCCCUCUCAUGGGUCGGCUCCUCUCAAAUGCAUUCGCGGAAUCGACUUUGGUCCAUUUCGGUCAUCAGUGUGAUAAAUGUUGCGCUGUUGGCUAGGAUCGAGGUGCCGCAUACAAUGGUCUUCGGACAAUUUUAUAAACCAUUUGACCUCAAUCAGGUAGGACUANCCGCUGAACUUAAGCAUAUCAAUAAGCGGAGGAAAAGAGACUNACGAGGAUUCCCCUAGUNACUGCGAGUGNAGCGGGAAAAGCUCAAAUUUAAAAUCUGGCGUCCUCCGGGCGUCCGAGUUGUAAUCUGGAGAAGCGUUUUCCGCGCCGGACCGUGUACAAGUCUUCUGGAACGGAGCGUCAUAGAGGGUGAGAAUCCCGUCUCUGACACGGACUACCGAUGCUUUUGUGAUGCGCUCUCGAAGAGUCGAGUUGUUUGGGAAUGCAGCUCAAAAUGGGUGGUAAAUUCCAUCUAAAGCUAAAUAUUGGCCAGAGACCGAUAGCGAACAAGUACCGUGAGGGAAAGAUGAAAAGCACUUUGGAAAGAGAGUUAAACAGUACGUGAAAUUGUUGAAAGGGAAACGCUUGAAGUCAGUCGCGUUGGCCGAGACUCAGCCUGGCUUGCCUGGUGUACUUCUCGGUUGACGGGUCAGCACCAGUUUUGACCGCUGGAUAAAGGUUGGAGGAAUGUGGCAUCUCUCGGGAUGUGUUAUAGCCUCUGAUUCGCAUACAGCGAUUGGGACUGAGGAACUCAGCACGCCUUUACGGUCGGGGUUCGCCCACGUAACGUGCUUAGGAUGCUGGCAUAAUGGCUUUAAGCGACCCGUCUUGAAACACGGACC
rnacentral:rRNA from 1 species